rnacentral:misc_RNA from 1 species
AAAGUCGUAACAAGGUCUCCGUAGGUGAACCUGCGGAGGGAUCAUUAACACGUUUAUAAAUCCAUUAAACACCGCGAACUCGUACGUUCUGACAGAGUGGUCAAGGGUGGGCGUGUCGACCCUGGGCUCAACCCAGAUGUAUCAGAUGCCCUGCUUGCGAUCACGGCUGUUACCCUGUAUUUUUUACCCCACAAAAACAUCAGUCCCAGAAACAUUUGGGUAGCUCUAACGGGCGCUCAAAUUAAAAACAAACAUACGUACAACUCUUGGCAACGGAUAUCUUGGUUCUC